rnacentral:lncRNA from 1 species
AACAGACAUUAUCAUAACUAUCUAAAGGCGAGUAAAAUGGAGGCAAGUUUAAACAACAAAUUUCAACCCAUUUCAUAAUGUUUUCAAUUUGUUUCUUAAACCAUAAAAUAUUUGUAAUUUACCAAAACAGUUGUUAAUGCUUAUGUCUUUUAUUAAAACAAGGCUCAAGCCAAAACUAAUCCUCGGGGAUACCUUGGCCGAGGCAUCUAACCGAGUCCGCCAAGGGUGUUAAAAUAUUCACACGUGAAACACAUUUUUAUUUUUAAAA